rnacentral:lncRNA from 1 species
CAACUCCCUUGUGUCUGUGUAGAUCGCAGAUGGCGGGGGACUGGAAAGAAGAUGGUUCCUUCCGCUGCUCGUGGUGUGCUUGAAUCCAGUAGUGGUACACAUUCUGGUGGCUUUAUGAUGAAAAGGUGAGUGGUUUCUAAGUGCUGCAUUACCAGAUCACUUCAAAACUGUAAGUUCUGAUUUGGUGACAAGGGAAUUGGAGAGUACAUAUGGAAGGAAAUAGCUGGCUAUUCAAUUUUGUAUAGCGAGAGAUUUACUGCCCCAUGGAUCUUCUACAAUUCUCUUGUUAUCCAAUCGGUUUUAAGGACUUGUUUGGAAGAAGGGGGUUGAUGAAGGGCUAAAAUUCUUUACUAUUGAGGGGUAUUAGGGUGGAUUAAGGCCUAGUUUGAGUACUCUAGUAAUGAGAGGAAUUGAAUUGGAUUGAGAUGUAUUAUGAGAGUUUUUGAUUUAUUGGGAUUUAAACACUCUUCAAUCUCUCCAAAUCAUUUCAAUCCAAAAGUAUCCAAUCUCCAGUAGGUCAUGUAAACGGCCGUGUGAAGUAUUGUUUUGCACUAUAGAUUAUACAGAGUUUGAAAUAGAAAGUGAAAUAGGGAGUCUGUUGAAGAUAGUCUAGCCCACUAACGUGAUGGCAAAACGGAUUACUGCAUCAUGACUGUAUCCGUUAUCCGGAUGAUCCAAACAGGAAACAGCAGCCUGAUGCCAAAAACCAAAAGGUCAAUAUGGCCGCUACUAACGGUAUGCAGAAUUUAGAACACUCACGGUAAAUAUGAGGUACUUUCGGUGUCAAUUUCUGGGCGGCAAUCCUUCUACUUUGGAAACCUCGAAUCCCCUUCAGGAUUGGAGAAGAUUAAGAUGAAAAUAAACUAAUUUCUUUUUUAAUCCUCUUCAAUUUCAAAGGUAAUUUGAGUUUUCAAGCCCAUCCUACUCAAGUCAGAACCUCUCUUGGAGCCGCGGUUGGUUACUCGAUUUAUUGACUCAUGCGGUCAUGCAGUUGACGACUUCAGGCUGUUCAGGGAGAGCAUGGAGUACAAUGAUGUAAAAGAACUCUACUCUACUCUACUCACAUGGAUUUCAUAUUUUUGAGUUUCCUGCAUGCCACAUUUCACUAAACCAAGUAAAUUGAAACUAGUAGGGAAAAAUACAAGACAGUAGAGAUUUACAUACAGAAUGAAGGGUUGGAUUCCAGCUCUGAACUGAAGCAGGAUAGCAAAAGUACAGGGCAUUUGCCUGAAUCUACGCUCCACAAGUAUAUAACUCGUAUGUUUGGGCUGUGAGUUGCAGAUGUGGUCAUCCAAGUUCCACCCGAUCGUGGAGAGAUCCCUCCGCCUGCACUUCACCGUUGACCCCGAUCAAUGACUACCAUUCUGCUCUGAGUUUGCUACUUUGCUACGUGGUCGGUGUUCUUGGAGCCGCUGCAGCCUGCAAGCCUCCAUGGAAUCUCCAAGCUGGACAAGAAACAAACAAAAAAAUAACAUACCAAUGCCGAUAAUCUUGCUGGGAGUUGUGUUUCAGAUUACUUUGUUGCCCCACAUCGACUAACUGUGCCUGUUGACAGAGAACUGAGAAUGGAUGGAUGAAUGAAUGAAUCUUUGCAGGCCAAGUGCUUGACUGAGAUUGGGAGAUGCUCCUGAUGAUCCGAGUUUAACAGAUGUCAACAGGCAUGUGAUCAGGAAUCUCAACUGCAUCUCUUGUUAACAGAUGUCAUCAGGCAUGUGAUGCACAUGCUCGCCUGCAA